GACCUGGCUGGGCGGUCUUGCCGAAAGGUAAGCACUGCUCUGGUCGGGUCUUUCCUUCUGGGGAACCUGCGUGCUCUUAAUUGAGUGCGCAGGGGAUCCAGGACUUUUACUUUGAAAAAAUUAGAGUGUUCAAAGCAGGCCUAUGUCUGAAUACAUUAGCAUGGAAUAAUAAAAUAGGAC
rnacentral:rRNA from 1 species